rnacentral:rRNA from 1 species
UACGAAGGGGGCUAGCGUUGUUCGGAAUUACUGGGCGUAAAGCGCGCGCAGGCGGUCCUUUAAGUCGGGGGUGAAAGCCCAGAGCUCAACUCUGGAACUGCCUUCGAAACUAGAGGACUUGGGUACGGGAGAGGUGAGUGGAAUUCCAGGUGUAGCGGUGAAAUGCGUAGAUAUCUGGAGGAAUACCGGUGGCGAAGGCGGCAUCCUGGACCAUAACUGACGCUGAGGCGCGAAAGCUAGGGGAGCAAACGGG